GGAAUGACCAAAACCAACUCAAAGCUAGAAUGAAUUCCCUGUGUGGUGGAGACCCAACAAGCCAUUUCAGAGCCAGAUGAAGGAUAUCGGGCAUCUCUUAAAUGAAACCUGAGUCAGAUACCUGCACACAUACCAGUCCCCUCAAUGUGUAUUCAAGAUACUGUUAACUUAUGGCAAAAUUCUUCCAUCAUAGCAGGGUGCAGUUUUGAAUGUAUGCAACUAGACUCCAGACUUUUCCAGUCUUUCCCAGUCUUUCCUGUUCACCUCAAUUUAGCACUAGCUGAUGGCUCCUGCUCUGUGUCAUAUUCUGCUCCCAGGCCAGAGAUGAAGUCACGGUACUGGCUUUAUGAGUUCUUGCAGCUGCACAACAGCCCGAGAGACUCUCACUGCCUUCUGGAGCAAGAAAACGUGCCUGCAGAGCUUCGAGCUACACUCGUCAGUUUCUAAGGCACCAGGGAGCCGCCUUCUUUUGCAGAGGGGACCUUCAUCUUUGUAAAAGUUAGUCUCCAGGCAUCCAGGUCAGUCAGGUGGUCCACUGCCACUCCAGAGCUUUCCUUAAGGCCCCGCCCUACAUGGUUGUCGUGACAAGGUGCCUGGGGACCCUUCAGGAGCUCAACCUCCUAUAAGAGGGGAUCUGGCAGCAGAAACCAACAUCUGUUUUCAUCUGAACUAAAACAAGGAAUCACCAAAAGCUUGACCAAAGGCAGCCCGUGAGGAUGCCCGCGACUCUGCGAAGACGCACUCACUGUCCAAGACCUGGGGGCUGGGAGGUGUUCUCUAACGACAGGAAGAGAGGAAAGAGUGCUGAAGUUUAUGCCAUUUAGUCUGGGCCUCUGGGAACAGAUACACGGAUAGACGAGUGAGCGAGAGAACGAACGAACG
rnacentral:lncRNA from 1 species